GAUGAACGCUGGCGGCGUGCCUAAUACAUGCAAGUCGAGCGAACAGAUGAGGAGCUUGCUCCUCUGACGUUAGCGGCGGACGGGUGAGUAACACGUGGAUAACCUACCUAUAAGACUGGGAUAACUUCGGGAAACCGGAGCUAAUACCGGAUAAUAUAUUGAACCGCAUGGUUCAAUAGUGAAAGACGGUUUUGCUGUCACUUAUUGAUGGAUCCGCGCCGCAUUAGCUAGUUGGUAAGGUAACGGCUUACCAAGGCAACGAUGCGUAGCCGACCUGAGAGGGUGAUCGGCCACACUGGAACUGAGACACGGUCCAGACUCCUACGGGAGGCAGCAGUAGGGAAUCUUCCGCAAUGGGCGAAAGCCUGACGGAGCAACGCCGCGUGAGUGAUGAAGGUCUUCGGAUCGUAAAACUCUGUUAUUAGGGAAGAACAAAUGUGUAAGUAACUAUGCACGUCUUGACGGUACCUAAUCAGAAAGCCACGGCUAACUACGU
rnacentral:rRNA from 1 species